GACGAACGCUGGCGGCGUGCUUAACACGUGCAAGUCGAACGGAAAGGCCCUGCUUUUGUGGGGUGCUCGAGUGGCGAACGGGUGAGUAACACGUGAGUAACCUGCCCUUGACUUUGGGAUAACUUCAGGAAACUGGGGCUAAUACCGGAUAGGAGCUCCUGCUGCAUGGUGGGGGUUGGAAAGUUUCGGCGGUUGGGGAUGGACUCGCGGCUUAUCAGCUUGUUGGUGGGGUAGUGGCUUACCAAGGCUUUGACGGGUAGCCGGCCUGAGAGGGUGACCGGCCACAUUGGGACUGAGAUACGGACCAGAAUCCUACGGGAGGCAGCAGUGGGGAAUAUUGCACAAUGGGCGGAAGCCUGAUGCAGCAACGCCGCGUGCGGGAUGACGGCCUUCGGGUUGUAAACCGCUUUCGCCUGUGACGAAGCGUGAGUGACGGUAAUGGGUAAAGAAGCACCGGCUAACUACGUG
rnacentral:rRNA from 1 species